rnacentral:rRNA from 1 species
GACGGAGGAUGCAAGCGUUAUCCGGAAUGAUUGGGCGUAAAGCGUCCGCAGGUGGCAGUUCAAGUCUGCUGUCAAAAGACCGGGGCUUAACUUCGGAAAGGCAGUGGAAACUGAACAGCUAGAGUAUGGUAGGGGCAGAGGGAAUUCCUGGUGUAGCGGUGAAAUGCGUAGAGAUCAGGAAGAACAUCGGUGGCGAAGGCGCUCUGCUGGACCAUAACUGACACUCAGGGACGAAAAGCUAGGGGAGCGAAUGGG